rnacentral:rRNA from 1 species
AGAUCGUUUACCGUGAAAAAAUUAGAGUGUUCAAAGCAGGCAGAUCCAAUUUUCUGCCACCGAAUACAUUAGCAUGGGAUAAUGGAAUAGGACCCUGUCCUCGCUAUUUUCAGUUGGUUUGCCGCGAGGACCAGGGUAAUGAUUAAUAGGGAUAGUUGGGGGCAUUAAUUUAAUUGUCAGAGGUGAAAUUCUUGGAUUUAUGAAAGAUACUUCUGCGAAAGCAGUCUGCCAAGGAUGUUUUCAUUAAUCAAGAACGAAAGUUAGGGGAUCGAAGACGAUCAGAUACCGUCGUAGUCUUAACCAUAAACGAUGCCGACCAGCGAUUAGGAGACGUUGAAUACAAAACACCGACCAUGCGCAUUGCGAGUCGUCUUUGGUGUCGCUCACAAGGCGGCACCGGGGCGGCUUAGCUCGCAUGGCACCGGUGAAUGACUCCCAAG